UACGUAGGGGGCAAGCGUUGUCCGGAUUUAUUGGGCGUAAAGGGUGCGUAGGCGGUCGGGUGAGUCUGAUGUGAAAUCUCACAGCUUAACUGUGAAACUGCAUUGGAUACUAUCCGGCUCGAGGAAUGGAGGGGAGACUGGAAUACUUGGUGUAGCAGUGAAAUGCGUAGAUAUCAAGUGGAACACCAGUGGCGAAGGCGAGUCUCUGGACAUUUCCUGACGCUGAGGCACGAAAGCCAGGGGAGCAAACGGG
rnacentral:rRNA from 1 species